GACGAACGCUGGCGGCGUGCCUAACACAUGCAAGUCGAGCGGAAAUAUUCUGAAGAGUAAUCGGAAGGAUAUUUUAGCGGCGGACGGGUGAGUAACACGUGGGCAACCUGCCCUGUACAGGGGGAUAACACUGGGAAACUAGUGCUAAUACCGCAUGAUACGCGAAGAUGGCAUCAUUUUUGCGUCAAAGGAGAAAUCCGGUACAGGAUGGGCCCGCGUCCGAUUAGCUAGUUGGUGAGGUAAUGGCUCACCAAGGCGACGAUCGGUAGCCGGAUUGAGAGGUUGAACGGCCACAUUGGGACUGAGACACGGCCCAGACUCCUACGGGAGGCAGCAGUGGGGAAUAUUGCACAAUGGGGGAAACCCUGAUGCAGCGACGCCGCGUGAAGGAAGAAGGUCUUCGGAUUGUAAACUUCUUUGAUUGGGGACGAAAUAUGACGGUACCCAAGGAACAAGCCACGGCUAACUACGUG
rnacentral:rRNA from 1 species